UUUUAAUAGCAAAAAAAUUGGGAACAACAAAUUAAUUAGGAAAUGGUUCAAUAAAACUAUUAUGUUCAUAUUAUGGAAUAAUAUGUAGCAGUUAAAAAGAGGUAGGUGUACAUAUAUACUAAUAUGGAAAAAUUACCAAGAUACACUCAGUGAAAAAAGAAUGAAUCAUAGUAAGAUACAUAAACAAUUUUACAAAAUUUAGCAAGACUGUUUCCUUUUGUUGCCCUCUGCAACCAUUACUAUAUCAAACUGAAGCAAAUGAUCAAGUCAAUGGAUAAAGGCCAGUCAAAUCUAAGUGUGUUUCACUAAGUACAUAAAACGAUGGCUUCAAUGAAUUGCACAAGAAUUCCAGGUGUCCACUGCAGUUUCCAGGUUCAGUCCUAUAACCCACUUUACUGAAGUUUCCCUUAUGGUGGUGGCUCUAAUGGGAAAGGCCUGUCAGUCAACAGAACAAUUAACUUGAGCAGAAACAAAUUAAAACAUGAGUUAUAUUAAGAAUUAACACCGAAGUUCACUGAAGGUAAAGGAUGUGAUUUUUCUAUCACCACCAGUAGGGUCUAUUCCUGAAUCACUUGAUGUUUUUCUUCUAUGAUGAUGGGAAGGUCCAAAAUGAUUCUCUCUGCUGCACACCGUACAUGGUUGCCAUGCUACGCGUUUCAAUGGUGAAUAGUGCAAGAACAAAUACAUACUUUUUGUACUGUUGUUCCCAGUACUUGGGAUUUUUGCAACAUUCAAAGCAGCUCAAGUAGAAAAGAAAAAGUUCAAACCAGUCACCAGAUCCAAAAUUAGCAUUUUAUUCAGAACGCUGGGGUCAGAGGUGUA
rnacentral:lncRNA from 10 species